UACAGAUUUAUCCAACAAAAUGAAGUUUGUGAUCGUUCUUGCCUGCCUUUUGGCCAUCGUUCUUCCUCUUGAGGCCAGCAGCAGUGAAAGUGAAAGCAAUGAACGGAGAUCCCCACCUUUUCCAUCAUAUCCAUGUCCAGAUGCAUUAACCAAAAAUAUAAUUGAGGCUUUAAUAAAUAUACUCUGUAUCAGAACAGCCCCUCCGAAGAUUGAAUGAAACCUGUUGACUGAUCUUGCUGAGAUGAUCUUUACAAGAUACCUAGAAGAUAGCCUUUUGCUUCUGACACAGCCCAAUGAAUGACCCUGAUUUAAAUUGACUUAUUAAAGCUUUGCAAUGUUUUCCUUUGAAUAAAUUUGAGCAGCAUAAU